rnacentral:snRNA from 1 species
AUACUUACCUUGACGGGAUCAAUGGAUGAUCAAGAAGGUCUAUGGCCUAGGUUAGCAACCUCCAUUGCACUUUGGAGGGGUGCUCGCCUAAGAUCUUCCCAAGUCGAAGAGUCUACGUCAUAAUUUGUGUUAGAGGGGGAACGCGUUCGCGCGAUCUUUUG